rnacentral:lncRNA from 1 species
CAUUCCACAAAGAAGGGGCACUACAAUGUAUUAUGUUAGAAUGUAAUUCUCUUUACAAGAAGGGUGUUCAAAGAGUAUAUUUGCUUCCUCAGAAGUCAUUUUUCUCUUCCCUGGGUUAUCAUCAAACCACAGAAUGCUGAAUUAGAAGGAACUGUGAAAUCAUUACAAUGGGGCCCAACUCGCUCGCUCUUUGUCUUCCUUCCUUCCUUCCUUCCUUCCUUCCUUCCUUCCUUCCUUCCUUCUUUCUUUCUUUCUUUCUUUCUUUCUUUCUUUCUUUCUUUCUUCCUUUCUUUCUUUCUUUCUUUCUUUUUUUCUUUUUUUUUUUUUUUUGAGACGGAGUCUCGCUCUGUCGCCCAGACUGGAGUGCAGGGGAACAAUCUCAUCUCACUGUGAUCUCCACUUCCUAGGGUUCAAGCAAUUCUCCUGCCUCAGCCUCCUGAGUAACUGGGAUUACAGGUAUGCACCACCACACCCGGCUAAUUUUUAUAUUUAUAGUUGAGACAGGGUUUUGCCAUGGUGGCCGUACUGAUCUCGAACUCCUGACCUCAGGUGAUCCUCCUGCUUAAACCUCCCAAAGUGCUAAGAUUGCAGGCAUGAGCCACAAUGCCUGGCCAAGAGAAGAAUCUUUUUCAGAUGAGAAAAAUAACUACAGUUUUGUACGCUGAUGACAGCAAUCUAGUAGAGAAAGAAAAAAUGAUGAUGCAGGAGAGACAGGAAAGAAUUGCUUGCAUGCUGUGAGUGUCCUGCUGGCUGCAGAGUGGAGUAGUUGCUGAGAGAUCCAGCUAUGAGGUAGCAUGCUAAGGAAAGUAGAAGAAAACUGAAGGAGCCUGAAUUCCUAGUCAUCAUGGAGUUGCCAUCUAAGUCCAGGAUUGCCUGCUUCUGGAUCUUUAUUUCUUCAAGAGAAAUAAGCUCUUUUUUUCCAACAUGUUAUUAGGAGAAAUUUCAAACAUAUAGGAAACUGGAAAUAACUGUAUAGCAAACACCUACCAUCUGGUUUCUACAAUUAACAUCUCUCUACACUUAUUCUGAUAUACCUAUCCAUCUCUCUCUCUAUCUAUUAAUUUCUUAUUUUUAGGGCAUUUCAAAGUGAGAUUCAGACAUGAACAUAUUUCACCCCUAAACACUUCACAAUGUAUACUGCUACCUAGAGUUUAAUAUCUAGUUAUAGUUCUUUUUUCUUUAAGAUAAAAUUUACCUAAAAUGAAGUGAUCUAAUUUUACUGUACUAUUUGAUGAACUUUGAAAGAUGCAUGCACCUGUAUAACCCAACCUCUAUUAACACAUGGAACAAUACACUUACCCCAGAAAGUUCCUUCAGUCCUGUUUCCAGUAAGCCCCUGCCUCCACCCUAUCCUCAGAGGCAACUGCUAUUCUGAUUUCCUUUUUCAUCAUUGAUUAGUUUUCCCUAUUCUUUAGAUAAAUGGAAUCACAUUGUAAAUACUCUCUUGUGUAAG